ACAAAAAUGCACAUACUGUGAGCUCGAUGAGUAGGGCGGGACACGUGGUAUCCUGUCUGAAUAUGGGGGGACCAUCCUCCAAGGCUAAAUACUCCUGACUGACCGAUAGUGAACCAGUACCGUGAGGGAAAGGCGAAAAGAACCCCAGCGAGGGGAGUGAAAAAGAACCUGAAACCGUGUACGUACAAGCAGUGGGAGCACGCUUCGGCGUGUGACUGCGUACCUUUUGUAUAAUGGGUCAGCGACUUAUAUUCUGUAGCAAGGUUAACCGAAUAGGGGAGCCGAAGGGAAAC
rnacentral:rRNA from 1 species